UGAAAGAGUGCGAAGAUUUCAGUAAGCCCAUCUUAAAGCCAGUGGAUCAGACAAAAAAGCGCAUCCUAGACGCUGUUGAUCAUUUAAUAGUUUGCAUUUGUAAUUUCUUUGCAUGUUAAGCACUUUGUUUGCUUUUAAAUUUGUUUAUUCUGAAUGGGAAGUUUAAUGAAAUGAUUAUGCAUCUUUUAAUAAUCCGUUUGUAUUCACUCAUUUUUAUUUUUU
rnacentral:lncRNA from 1 species